GAUGAAGAACGCAGCGAAAUGCGAUAAGUAAUGUGAAUUGCAGAAUUCCGUGAAUCAUCGAAUCUUUGAACGCACAUUGCGCCCCCUGGCAUUCCGGGGGGCAUGCCUGUCCGAGCGUCAUUUCUGCCCUCAAGCACGGCUUGUGUGUUGGGUGUGGUCCCCCCGGGGACCUGCCCGAAAGGCAGCGGCGACGUCCGUCUGGUCCUCGAGCGUAUGGGGCUCUGUCACUCGCUCGGGAAGGACCUGCGGGGGUUGGUCACCACUAUAUUUUACCACGGUUGACCUCGGAUCAGGUAGGAGUUACCCGCUGAACUUAAGCAUAUCAAUAAGAGGAGGA
rnacentral:misc_RNA from 1 species